GAAACCAUAGCUGUUGAGUUCCCACAGCCAGCUGCCAACGCAGCACUUCCUCAGGAAGAAAGAGUCCAAUACUUGCUACGUUGCCGUCGAACCACAACCGGUGCGAACAAGGUUGUAUCCACACUCACACUCCAGCUGUGACCCAAUGGUUAAGAUCAUCGCCUGCCACCGUGGGGGACCUUGGUUCAAAAAACCCCGACUGGACCAUCCGCCAACAUCCCCCGGACUCAUGGCUGUGGUGUCCUUGAGCAAGACACUGAUACCCUGAAAUGCUCCCCGGGCGCUUCAGCUGCCCCCUACUCCAGUGUGUUCCACUAACAUGUGUAUGGGUUAAAUGCAGAGAACAAAUUUUGUGUGCAUGCAUGCAUGUUCAUGACAAUAAAAGAUGAUUCUUCUUCUUCA